UGAUACUGGCUUAUGAUCAGUUGUAGACAAUUUGAGUGUACUACUACAAAAAUAACCUUUUAGGACGCUAAAACAAUGACAUCUUUGUGUUUCUGACUCAAACGUCGUCGUUUUGCACGAGUACUUUUGGCGCCAAGACGAGGACGCCGUCGCCGCUCCCCACCGGCGGUGAUUUAGAUUCUCUUCGGCCUCGACGCCGCUCACCGCCACAUGGUCUUCCACCGAGAUUUGAAACCUUCUAAUCUCUUAAUUUCCGAACUCGGCCUCCUCAAGAUCGCUGAUUUUGGACAGGCUACCUCGUUCUCAACAAUCACAAAACCCUAACCCUCUAACUAUUGAAAUGUUUUAGCCAGUGUUUGCAUAAUUGAUUUUAUAAUCGGAGUUUCAUGGUCAUUCCCUGGCGGUGUAAAUCAAUUUUGUAUCCUGCUAUUAAUUUUACACUAUUGAAAUGUUUUAGCCCGUGUUUGCAAAAUUCACAGAAUUGAUGGGUUGUUUUCUCAGGCAAGGAUUCUCACGGAGCCUGCUAUUGAUGCUUCUAAUAAUCAUGAAGAAUAAAUAUUCUAGGGUUGGAGGAUGUUUUGGUGUCUUAUCUCUUUGGGAAGAAGAGGGCAACUGACAUUGCUCACAUGCAUGUACUCAUUGAAAAUUAAAAUGCUUCUGUUUUCAAAAUUUCUGCUUGGUUUUUCCAAUUUUCAGAAACAACUUGCCAAGCUCUUCAAUUUCUGCCACAGUAAAAUGGAGAAUGGUGUUCCAAGGAAUGCUUCAGUUAGUUGGAUGCAUGGAGAUGGGAGAGAAGGAUAGAGGGAUUGGGUCAACAAGCGUGUGAGCAUUAUUUGUUGUACUUUUGCUCCUUAAAUGCGAUACUGUUUCGUAAGUGCAAGUUGAGUUUGGUGAGUUGGUGAAAUUAAUACCAUACCACUGGCUUGCUAAUUGAUCCACAAUUGGCAAUAUUUGGCAGCAAUAAUACAUAUAGACGUGCUUCCAA